rnacentral:rRNA from 1 species
GAGGGAAACCGAGUCUUAACCGGGCGUUAAGUUGCAGGGUAUAGACCCGAAACCCGGUGAUCUAGCCAUGGGCAGGUUGAAGGUUGGGUAACACUAACUGGAGGACCGAACCGACUAAUGUUGAAAAAUUAGCGGAUGACCUGUGGCUGGGGGUGAAAGGCCAAUCAAACCGGGAGAUAGCUGGUUCUCCCCGAAAGCUAUUUAGGUAGCGCCUCGUGAAUUCAUCUCCGGGGGUAGAGCACUGUUUCGGCUAGGGGGCCAUCCCGGCUUACCAACCCGAUGCAAACUGCGAAUACCGGAGAAUGUUAUCACGGGAGACACACGGCGGGUGCUAACGUCCGUCGUGAAGAGGGAAACAACCCAGACCGCCAGCUAAGGUCCCAAAGUCAUGGUUAAGUGGGAAACGAUGUGGGAAGGCCCAGACAGCCAGGAUGUUGGCUUAGAAGCAGCCAUCAUUUAAAGAAAGCGUAAUAGCUCACUGGUCGAGUCGGCCUGCGCGGAAGAUGUAACGGGGCUAAACCAUGCACCGAAGCUGCGGCAGCGACGCUGAUGCGUUGUUGGGUAGGGGAGCGUUCUGUAAGCCUGCGAAGGUGGCCUGUGAGGGUUGCUGGAGGUAUCAGAAGUGCGAAUGCUGACAUAAGUAACGAUAAAGCGGGUGAAAAGCCCGCUCGCCGGAAGACCAAGGGUUCCUGUCCAACGUUAAUCGGGGCAGGGUGAGUCGACCCCUAAGGCGAGGCCGAAAGGCGUAGUCGAUGGGAAACGGGUUAAUAUUCCCGUACUUGGUGUUACUGCGAAGGGGGGACGGAGAAGGCUAUGUUGGCCGGGCGACGGUUGUCCCGGUUUAAGCGUGUAGGUGUGUGUUCCAGGUAAAUCCGGUUCACUUUAACACUGAGGCGUGAUGACGAGGCACUACGGUGCUGAAGCAACAAAUGCCCUGCUUCCAGGAAAAGCCUCUAAGCAUCAGGUAACAUCAAAUCGUACCCCAAACCGACACAGGUGGUCAGGUAGAGAAUACCAAGGCGCUUGAGAGAACUCGGGUGAAGGAACUAGGCAAAAUGGUGCCGUAACUUCGGGAGAAGGCACGCUGACA